rnacentral:rRNA from 1 species
UACGUAGGGGGCAAGCGUUGUCCGGAAUCAUUGGGCGUAAAGCGCGCGUAGGCGGCCCGGUAAGUCCGUUGUGAAAGUCAAAGGCUCAACCUUUGAACGCCGAUGGAUACUGCCGGGCUAGAGUCCGGAAGAGGCGAGUGGAAUUCCUGGUGUAGCGGUGAAAUGCGCAGAUAUCAGGAGGAACACCAAUGGCGAAGGCGGCUCGCUGGGACGUGACUGACGCUGAGACGCGAAAGCGUGGGGAGCAAACAGG